GAAGCGCCUCCGGCCGAAGGAGCCGCCGAAGGGCGCCGAACUUUUUUUUUUUUUUUUGCCACGGGGCUGGGGAAGGGCGGAGAAGCGCCCCCCCACACACACACAUAGGCGGGCUACGUCGCCUUCCCUCUUUGCACGCGGCUGGCGCCCCGAGCCCCUUCACUCGGAGGAACACGGCUGCCAAGGGCCCCGAUUCCCUCCGCUCUCUCUGGGAAGCCGAACAGCACAAACUUGCUGUUCCUUCGCGCGCUUCCAAGGCCGGAGGGGGGCGGGGGUUCCUUUGGCUGCUCAUUCGCCGCCCCUCAAAAUAAAUAAGCAAAUGAGCAAAUAUCGGGAAUGUUCCUCAAGUUUGCACAAUAAAACCCCCGGGUUGUGGCGCGAAGGGAUUUUGUUAUGGAGGCCACGCAAAGCGCUCUUCCUGCUCGAGACUGGCUGGUCACCCGAGGAAGCGGGUUCCUCCCAAUGGAACAGUGGGGGGCACAAGUCGGAGCAAAACCCAAGUUGGUUCUCGGGUGGUUUGCUUUGCCACGCCGUGCCUAGAAAGAAAGAGGCUCUUGCUACCGAGGCCCUGAAGUCUCUCAUGCCUCUCCUAAGGAGUCGCUCUUUUUCCCCCUUUCUUUUUUGGCUGGGCUACCUCCAAGGAAGAACAGGAGGGAGGGGAAGAGACUAAAUGACCACAUUCCCAGCCCGCCAUGCAAAAAUAGUUUCCCGAAAGUAGUUCCCUCGCUCGCUUAUUUUCAAAGAGUUGCGAGUGUCUCGCACGCGCACCGCGGAGGGAUACGCGGAGUUGUGCACAAGGCCACACGCGCGGGGAGGGGAGCGAGGAGAGUUAGGCGCCAGGGCCAGAGAGCCAGCCCCGCUGCAGAAGAGAGGGAAGCAGUUGGAGCCUGCACGGUGCAAGGCGCGUGCAUUUCCCUCCGUCCCGCGAAGUUGGCUUUCCCCGUGGCCGCCUCCUCUUCCUCUUCUGCAAAGGAAGGGCUGGCGCGCUCCGCUUUUAGCACCCUCCGGGCACGAGGCGUGCAGCUGCUUACGCACGCUCCGUUCUAGAACUCCGCGCGGUGGAAGCCGCGGGCGGCGGAUUCGCUUCGCGUUCGCAGCCCUGCGGUGUGAAGAUGGAACUGCACAGCCCCUUCCUGUGAAGAACUGGCCCCUCCUAAUCCUCUUCAUCUCAUUGGGCAAACUCUGCAGAGGGAAAGAGAAUGCAUGGUGAUAGCAAAAGGAUGUGUUGAUCAGAUCCAAGGCAACUGACCGCGGAUGAGUGUGCUGAUAAUGUACUUGCUACCUUCUGUGGCGACGACGUUAGAAAAAGGGAAUUGCAGCCUAGAGAUGACAAACUGGGAGGAAGGCGUGGGAAGCACGCAAACCAUAAGUUUCCGGCCUUUGUGACUUAUCCCAACAAUAUCAAAAUAAGCUCCAAUAAACAAGAGGGGAAGACUCGAGAACAACGGAAGCAGAUCUCAGAACACUCCAAGCAGCCUAGGAAGGCACAGCCCAUAGAAUGAUCCCUGCUACUCCCCAGAAGAGGAGGAGACGAGUGGUGGUGAUAGGUGACUCCCUAUUGAGGGGAACAGAGGCAGUAGUGUGUGAAGGAAACAGGAUGUCACAGGAGGUGUGCUGUCUUCUGGGUGCAAAGAUUCACAAUGUGAUGGAGAAGUUGCCAAGUCUUAUACAGCCCACUGCCCACUACCCCUUAUUUCUGAUCCAUGUGGGUACAAAUGAUACUGCCGCACAAAGCCUGCAACACAUAGCAAGGGACUAUGAGACACUGGGCAGGGAGCCGAAGAGACUUGGGGCACUGGUAGUCUUUUCAUCACUCCUCGUUGAAAGUUGUGGCCCAAGAGAAGAGAGGAAAAUACUUGAGAUAAACCACUGGCAGCACAGGUGGUGUCGUCAGGAAGGAGUUGGCUUCUUGGAUCAUGGUCUCCGCUUCCUUGAGGAAGAAUGUGCUGUCAAACCUCCCUUGGCCAAUGGGGACAGCAGCCCCAAACACCCUCUCCUUUUUUGCCAGCAACCUCACCUUUUGAUAGUGUGGUGCACCCAGAGAAGAGGGUUGGCAGGUCAUCUCAGUAACUGGGUCGAUUUGGGGCUGGAAGCAGGGACAGACUUUGAUAAUAUGGUGCCCUGAGUGACAACAAAAAUUGGCACACCCAAAAUAUUUGUUCUUUUCACAAUAAUUCAUUUUUGUACAGUUGCUUUUUUAUGGAUCUUCUCAAUAGGUACCCAUAUAAUACAGGUGUUAGUAUUAUUAUUUUAUUUUGUGCCCCCUGUGUGGGGGAACCACCCACACUGCUCUAAGUCUGGUAUUGCUGGAAGAUUUCUGCAGAAGUACCUGUCAUUUGUAUGAAUAAAAAGUGGCAAUCUGACAUAAGCAUCAAUCCUUUGCAUACAUACCUGGAAACAAAUCCAGGAUGGAUUAACGUCUUAGCAAAUUUGCAUAGAAGUGGUCUGAGGGUACUACCAGAAUGAAUGACCUGAUAGUGUCAUGUUUGAUGAAUCAGCAUGCUUGACACAUGGAAUCCAUGUGGGCUGCAAUUUAAAGGGAUAAGGGCAUCAAGAGAGGACAGCCCAGCAACUAUGCUACAAAAAUAGAAGCAGUGCUACCAAUGUCUGCUGCCACCUUGGGUUGCCAACUGACCCUGGUAAAAUUGCUGUGGCCUUAAAAUUGCUGUGCCUUAAACAGCUGCUUGAUCAGCAGACAAAGUGUUGAGGACAUUGAUAUGAGCAUUUCUUUAAAAGUAUCAUGUUUUAAUCUAGAUGCUCUUAGGUGAGAUGUGCAGUUUAAAAAGGGGGGACUGAAAAAAGUUGUAUAAGCUGUCUUUUUGAAUGUCCUGCUGGGCUGCAUCAGCAGUGCAAUGGGAAGAUUUCUGUUGUUCAGUUUCCUGUUCCGUUUAUCUCCCUCUUCCUUAAAACAAUUUUCCUUCCUAAUAAAAGGAAUGUGCUGGUGCUGCUGUAGUUCUGACACAGCAUGAGUUUGACCAAACUGCGGGAGGCAGUGGAAGACAGGAGUGCCUGGCGUGCUCUGGUCCAUGGGGUCACGAAGAGUCGGACACGACUAAACGACUAAACAACAACAACAUUUUCAAAUAAAAUAAAAACUACAUUGGAAUCAGUGACAGGGAAAAUAGGAAAAUACAUAUGCCAGCUCCACUACUGGUGUUUGUCCCCGUUCCCCAUCUCCCACCCACCCACAUUUUGGGGAACUGCUGAAAUGGGAACCUUUCCCCUGAUCUCCAGGAAGGCGUUUACUGACAUAGGCAUUUCUAUGCAGUAGGACAACAGCUGCCAAGUUGUGUCCAGGAAGAGCUCUCAUGAAGUCACAUCUCCCUUCUGAUUAAGGACCCAUCUCUCCACCCUGAGAGAGGGAGACCCAAAACGUCCUAUGGCGUCUUGAGAGCCCUCAAGAAACAUUAGAAUUGUAGCCAUAGUUUAUUUUCCCCCUUUCUGUUUUUCUUUACAGCUUCCUCCUGUACAGCGUUAGGUGUACCUGAGCCCACUGAAAUGCCUAAUUCUGCAAAGGCCGAAGCUGUUAGUGCGAUCUUUUAAAAGUAUAUUGUUUAUGUACAUU